GCGCAGCAGUCGCGAAAACUCCGCAAUGCACGAAAGUGUGACGGGGCUACCCCGAGUGCCGUCCGCUGAGGAUGGCUUUUCCUCGGUGUAACUAGCCGGGGGAAUAAGGGGAGGGCAAGACUGGUGUCAGCCGCCGCGGUAAUACCAGCUCUCCGAGUGGUAGGGAUGAUUAUUGGGCUUAAAGCGUCCGUAGCCGGCUUAGCAAGUCUCCUGUUAAAUUCAGCGACCUAAUCGUUGAGCCGCGGGAGAUACUACUAGGCUAGGAGGCGGGAGAGGCCGACGGUACUUCCGGGGUAGGGGUGAAAUCCUAUAAUCCCGGGCGGACCACCAGUGGCGAAGGCUGUCGGCUAGAACGCGCUCGACGGUGAGGGACGAAAGCUGGGGGAGUGAACCGGAUUAGAUACCCCCGUAGUCC
rnacentral:rRNA from 1 species